rnacentral:rRNA from 1 species
GGAUCAACGCUGGCGGCGUGCCUAACACAUGCAAGUCGAACGCGAAAAUCCUUUCGGGGAGUGAGUAGAGUGGCGUCCGGGUGAGUAACGCGUGGGUAAUCUGCCUUUGGGUGGGGGAUAACCCAGGGAAACGUUGGGCUAAUACCGCAUAAUGCAGCGGCUCGACAUCGAGACAGUUGUUAAAGCAGCGAUGCGCCUAAAGAGGAGCCUGCGUCUGAUUAGCUUUG